GAGCCACCUGCGGGUCGGGAAUCACGGAACCACAGAAUCAGUUCCGUUGGGAAACACCUCCGAGCCCAUCCAGUCCAACAUGUGACCGAUCACCGCCUUGCUAACUAGACCAUGGCACCGAGGGCCGCGUCCGAUCUUUCCCCUAAACACCUCCAGGGCUGGUGACUCCACCACCGCCCUGGCAGUCUAUAACCACCGUUCCUGUGAAGAAAGGUCGGAAGAGACACUGGUCUGGGAAGAGCUACCAGGUGACAGGCAGACCCUCUUCCCAGCCAGCUCAGGAGCCCUGGGGACCCAGCUGUCCCCAUGCCAUGGUCCUCUCUCCUGGGAGGAAACUUGGAAAAAUAACCCUACAAACUGCCGGAGGAGCUGGACAGAGAGCUGAAAACUCAAAGCUUGAAGUUCUCAGCACAGCCCUCUCCUGGUCUGAUCUCUGUGGUAGUUCUGAUACAGCUCUGAUGUACUUACAGAUCUGCCGCACACAGCAACCACCACAAUAAACCCCUAAAUGACUCUUUCAA